rnacentral:misc_RNA from 1 species
GAUGAAGAACGUAGCGAAAUGCGAUAAGUAAUGUGAAUUGCAGAAUUCAGUGAAUCAUCGAAUCUUUGAACGCACAUUGCGCCCCCUGGUAUUCCGGGGGGCAUGCCUGUCCGAGCGUCAUUACAACCCUCAAGCUCAGCUUGGUGUUGGGCCCCGCCGCCCCGGCGGGCCCUAAAGUCAGUGGCGGUGCCGUCCGGCUCCGAGCGUAGUAAUUCUUCUAGCUCUGGAGGUCCGGUCGUGUGCUCGCCAGCAACCCCCAAUUUUUUUCAGGUUGACCUCGGAUCAGGUAGGGAUACCCGCUGAACUUAAGCAUAUCAAUAAGCGGAGGA